rnacentral:rRNA from 1 species
UACGUAGGGAGCGAGCGUUGUCCGGAAUCAUUGGGCGUAAAGAGCUCGUAGGCGGCUUGGUAAGUCGGAUGUGAAACCUCCAGGCUCAACCUGGAGUCGCCAUCCGAUACUGCCAUAGCUAGAGUCCGGUAGGGGCCCACGGAACUCCUGGUGUAGCGGUGAAAUGCGCAGAUAUCAGGAAGAACACCGGUGGCGAAGGCGGUGGGCUGGGCCGGCACUGACGCUGUGGAGCGAAAGCGUGGGGAGCGAACAGG